UACGUAGGUGACAAGCGUUGUCCGGAUUUACUGGGCGUAAAGAGCGCGCAGGCGGUCGAUCAAGUCGAGUGUGAAAGCCCCCGGCUCAACUGGGGAGGGUCAUUCGAUACUGAUCGACUCGAAGGCAGGAGAGGGUAGUGGAAUUCCCGGUGUAGUGGUGAAAUGCGUAGAUAUCGGGAGGAACACCUGCGGUGUAGACGGCUUACUGGACCAUAACUGACGCUGAGGCACGAAAGCGUGGGUAGCAAACAGG
rnacentral:rRNA from 1 species